UACGGGGGGGGCAAGCGUUGUUCGGAAUUACUGGGCGUAAAGGGCUCGUAGGUGGCCAACUAAGUCAGACGUGAAAUCCCUCAGCUUAACUGGGGAACUGCGUCUGAUACUGGAUGGCUUGAGUUUGGGAGAGGGACGCGGAAUUCCAGGUGUAGCGGUGAAAUGCGUAGAUAUCGGGAGGAACACCAGUGGCGAAAGCGGCUACCUGGCCCAUUCUUGACGCUGAGGCGCGAAAGCUAGGGGAGCAAACGGG
rnacentral:rRNA from 1 species